ensembl:lncRNA MIR548A1HG MIR548A1 host gene
CUACACAAACCGUUUCUUUGCCUGCCGCCAUCCACGUAGAAUGUGACUUGCUCCUCUUCGCCUUCUGCCAUGAUUCUGAGGCCUCCCAGCCACGUCGAACUACAGAAGAAGGAGAUGCCAGUGACAAGCAAAGUAACUCCCCCACGGCAUGGGAAGAGCCAGCAUCUGCUGCUGUCCAGGAAUACAGUCUCACUGCUGCAGUCAAGGAAGGCCAAAGAAGCCACCGGGGAAAACCAACCCAUCCCGGGGACACUGGAGGCUCACUCCUUCCUCGCUGCAUUCUGAGGCUGCUGCUUUGGAGUGAGAGAUUAUCCUCUGCUUCUCCUGAAAGAGAAGGUGAUAUGCCCAGGACCCUUCCUGAGUAAGAUGUGUUCCUCAGAGGUUAAAAAAGAAAAAAAAGCCCCAAACCCCUGAAACCAAGAAAUCAAGACAGCUCUGGUGGAGAAGCUUUUGGGAACUUGCUGGGGCAGGUGAGGUCUUUCAAAGCUUAAAUCAGUCAAGAGGUGAGACACUUUCUCUCUAGAAACUCGGGUCAUAGCCACCCCUCUGAGAUAUUCUUCCCUCUGCUGAUGUCAUGUGGUGUGGAAACCCUCUUCUCGUGGCUGAAAACAAUCCUAAAGAAAGUCAGCCUCAUCUGGGGAGGGGGUGCAGCGGGGGGAGAAUGGGGGAAUGUCCCUGGCCAGGAGGCCGGAGGUGCCCCAGGAAGCUGUUUCCUCUGAAUAGUUAAAUGGCUGCCUCUCAACUUGCACAAUGUCACAUUGAAUUUGAAACAGGGAACUUUUUAUAUUUUUUCCCUGAUUGUGCUGGCACCUGGCAGAUGCCUAUUUACCACAGGCAUCAAUACACAUAGUAAUCAAAGGAAAUCAGAGGCACAGAUUAGCAACAGCUGCAAGUCAUUAGUGACAGACACGGGAAAGCACAAUUCUGCACCCAACUUUGAAAUAACCAAUAUGAGUAUUUCAGAGCACGAGGGUUACCGCAGGGCACUCGCUAACAUGAGAGCAGCCAAACAAUAGCUGGGCUUGUCUCUCCAGAGAGCACUCUUCUCAAAGGCAGCACCACACACUCCGUAUUAUAAACCAAUCAAUCACAUGAUAUUGGUCCACUGAACGUUAGCCCUUUGCAGAGUCCAUGUGCUGAUCUGAUCUUCUGACCAAAGGUUGUUGAACUGAAAAAUAACCUCUGGCUGGUGGAAAACUUUGUUAUCGCCUGUCAUAAUUUUAGUGGUGGGAGUUUGAGUGUAUUUCUGAUGACUUAAUUAUAUGAUUGACCUAGUUGGAAAGGGGCAUAUAGAGGGGAAAACAAGACAUUCCCCUUUCGCAUUUAAUCUCAUUUUUCCCCAAAUUUCUAUUUGAAAAUCAGCUAUGAUUGAUAGCCGUUCUCUUGGUAGUUACAUAUUUUCAUUGGCAACACUAACCUUAGCCUACUCCAAAAAA